CAUGUACUCCCUCCGUUCGGAAUUACUUGUCGCAGAAAUGGAUAUAUCUAGACGUAUUUUAGUUCUACAUACAUCCAUUUUCGAGACAAGUAAUUUCGAAUGGAGGGAGUAGUGU
rnacentral:pre_miRNA from 1 species